rnacentral:snRNA from 1 species
GUACAUACCUGGCAGGGGAGACACCAUGAUCAGGCAGGUGGUUUUCCUAGGGCGAGGCUCAUCCCCUGCAUUCCGGGUGUGCUGACCCCUGCGAUUUCCCAAUUAUUUUUUAACUGAGACAGG